UGUUUCAUAUAUUUCAGUACACAGCUUUAUACAAAACACAAACAAAAAAAGGAGCAAUGGGUUUCACAAAGAUCUUAGUGACUUGCACUCUUGUGGUUAUAAUGGUUGUUUCGUUAUCCACCCAAAACGAUAUGGAAUCAGAGAUCCAAGCUAAUAAAGAGGAAGUCCAGAUGAAAUGCUAUGAUAAUCUUUUAUGCAGCAUCACAUAUCAAGCAAAUAAUUGCACCUCGCACUGCGUAACAAAGGGGUACGAUACAGGAGACUGCCGUCCUCCAUAUAGGCAGCCCAAGAAACCUUUCGUUUGUUGUUGUUAUAAACGAUAAGUGAUGAAUCCAUUGUAGAGGGAGAGAGGUCAUGUCAUGUGGUUGGUUUCUCCUUUUGAUAUUAUUAAUGCCAUGAAAUAAAAACCAUCUUUGAACA